GAUGUAUAUGUCUUUCGUGUCCAUUUCUCCAGAAAUACUUGCUGUUUGCACGUUAGAAUUCAGGUGAUGCUAUCUUCAUACUACACUGUCUAUCAUUAUUACAGUUUAUUCUUCCUUUCUUUACAUUCUUUUAAAACAGGAUGUGGGGACUGGAGGGAUGGCUCACUGGGUAAGAGCUGACACUGCUUAUAAAGAGGACCAGAGCUCAGUUCCCAGAGCCAUGUAGUUCGCUCACAGCCAUCUCUAGCGCCAGCUUCAGGUUAUCAACAGGUCUGGACUCUGUGGGCACAAAUGUUCGCACACCCACACGCAGAGAUGCCCACAUACACAUAAUUAAAAAUAAAAUCUUUAAAAACAAAACCAAAAAAGAAGCAGACGUGAUUUUCUCUUUGUCAAUAGAUUCUCUAAGAUGUUUAUUACAUUCAGUACUUUCCUGUGAGCAAUGUUAAAUAAUGCAUCUGUUUAUUUCUUAAUUUUUAUUUUUUAAAUUUAUAUAUGUAUAAUAUAAACUUAAUUUUGUUUCCACACAUUUGACAAUUUUAUCUUUUUCUUUAAUUUCUAAUUUAAUUUCAUUGUGCUGUAUUUAAUUGGCUCUUUAUAAAUUCAUUGCUAUUCAUUUUAUAUUAAAAAUAAUUUUCACAUUGAUAAACUAUUGUGUGACCAUUAAAAUAAUGUGCGGCCCUCUAUUAUUGAGGUUAGUAUUCUAUCGUUGUCUACAGUCAAUUUUGAUUAAUAGAAUUGCUCAUAACUCCAAUAAUUUUAUUCAGUUUACGUAUUGUUCUCUCAAUUAUUGAGAAAGCUAUUAAAAUCAUUGGCCAUUCUCUUUUUAUUUCUUUUAUUUUAAUUUUUGUUCUAAUGAGAAUCAAGUCCUGGCUAUGGAGCAAAUUGAACAAGAAGUCUACCACGGAGAGACAUCCAUGGUCUAAAUCUUUGAGCCCAAGAAUGUCUGUAAUUUAACCAGGAUGUUUAGAGAAUAAGAAAUUUACUUAUUUUUAAAAAAUCCAAAUGCUGGCAUGUGCGGCCCUCUAUUAAUGAGUUUUUGUUCUAAUGAGAAUCAAGUCCUGGCUAUGGAGCAAAUUGAACAAGAAGUCUACCAUGGAGAGACAUCCAUGGUCUAAAUCUUUGAGGUUAGUUGUA